rnacentral:tRNA from 3 species
CUCGAUAGUUAUUUUUUAUGRACUAUACCGGUUUUCAAGACCGGAGCCAUCAACCACUCGGCCAUCUCUCC